rnacentral:tRNA from 1 species
GCGAAGGUGGCGGAAUUGGUAGACGCGCUAGCUUCAGGUGUUAGUGUCCUUACGGACUGGGGGUUCAAGUCCCCCCCCUGCACCA